rnacentral:rRNA from 1 species
UACCCUUGACAUGUCUGGAAUCUCGCAGAGAUGUGAGAGUGCCCGAAAGGGAGCCAGAACACAGGUGCUGCAUGGCUGUCGUCAGCUCGUGUCGUGAGAUGUUGGGUUAAGUCCCGCAACGAGCGCAACCCUUGUCAUUAGUUGCUACGAAAGGGCACUCUAAUGAGACUGCCGGUGACAAACCGGAGGAAGGUGGGGAUGACGUCAAGUCCUCAUGGCCCUUAUGGGUAGGG